AGAGUUUGAUCCUGGCUCAGAACGAACGCUGGCGGCAGGCCUAACACAUGCAAGUCGAGCGCCCGCAAGGGAGCGGCAGACGGGUGAGUAACGCGUGGGAACGUGCCCUUUGGUUCGGAAUAUUCCCGGGAAACUGGGAGCAAAACCGGAUAAGCCCUUCGGGGGAAAGUUUACGCCAAAGGAUCGGCCCGCGUUAGAUUAGGUAGUUGGUGGGGUAACGGCCUACCAAGCCUACGAUCUAUAGCUGAUCUGAGAGGAUGAUCAGCCACACUGGGACUGAGACACGGCCCAGACUCCUACGGGAGGCAGCAGUGGGGAAUCUUGGACAAUGGGCGCAAGCCUGAUCCAGCCAUGCCGCGUGGAUGACUGAAGGCCCUAGGGUUGUAAAGUCCUUUCGACGGGGACGAUAAUGACGGUACCCGUAGAAGAAGCCCCGGCUAACUUCGUGCCAGCAGCCGCGGUAAUACGAAGGGGGCUAGCGUUGUUCGGAUUUACUGGGCGUAAAGGGCGCGUAGGCGGAUUUUUAGGUCGGGGGUGAAAUCCCGGAGCUCAACUCCGGAACUGCCUUCGAUACUGGAAGUCUGGAGCACGGUAGAGGUGAGUGGAAUUCCGAGUGUAGCGGUGAAAUGCGUAGA
rnacentral:rRNA from 1 species